rnacentral:rRNA from 1 species
UAGGGAAUCUUCGGCAAUGGACGAAAGUCUGACCGAGCAACGCCGCGUGAGUGAAGAAGGAUUUCGGAUCGUAAAACUCUGUUGUUAGAGAAGAACAAGGACGUUAGUAACUGAACGUCCCCUGACGGUAUCUAACCAGAAAGCCACGGCUAACUACGUGCCAGCAGCCGCGGUAAUACGUAGGUGGCAAGCGUUGUUCGGAUUUAUUGGGCGUAAAGCGAGCGCAGGCGGUUUCUUAAGUCUGAUGUGAAAGCCCCCGGCUCAACCGGGGAGGGUCAUUGUAAGCUGGGUGAGUUGAGUGAAUAAGGGGGGAGUGGAAUUCCAUGUGUAGCGGUGAAAUGCGUAGUUAUAUGGAGGAACACCAGUGGCGAAGGCGGCUCUCUGGUCUGUAACUGACGCUGAGGCUCGAAAGCGUGGGGAGCAAACAGG